rnacentral:rRNA from 1 species
UACGUAGGGCGCAAGCGUUAUCCGGAUUUCUUGGGCGUAACGAGCUCGUAGGCGGUUUGUCGCGUCUGCCGUGAAAGUCCGGGGCUCAACUCCGGAUCUGCGGUGGGUACGGGCAGACUAGAGUGAUGUAGGGGAGACUGGAAUUCCUGGUGUAGCGGUGAAAUGCGCAGAUAUCAGGAGGAACACCGAUGGCGAAGGCAGGUCUCUGGGCAUUAACUGACGCUGAGGAGCGAAAGCGUGGGGAGCGAACAGG